AUGGCUACGAUUCGGCAGUCGAUGCCGCCUCCGGUUCGCUUGGUGCAGGUCGGGAACGCCGCGAUCCGUCGGCGGACGAGCCGCUUCCCGCCUUGCACCAACUGAAUCGGAGGCGGAAAGCGACGACGUUCUCCUUCUUCCGCGGCUCCCGUUCGCGGGAUCUCGACGCCGCGAGGUCGGAUCGAGUCUCUUCGUUGACGUUAGAAUACUCAUCGUCUUUUCUUAUUCUGAUCGAUGCGGUUUUGUAGGCUCUGAUGAUGGUUUCCUCCCCUCUCUUCGGGUAUGCCUUCGGAGAAUUACUUGUGUAGCUGACGAUAUUUCAAGCAAAGGCUGAGGGAGAGGGAUGACAAGGGUUGUGCCCUGCUUCACAUUGGUGCCAGUAAGGGUGACCUGCAAGGUGUUGGUGUUUUUAUAUCUUCUCUCAUUUAUUAGCUUUAAAUUUCAAGUUGUCAACAAAAAAUGCUUAUCUGUCUAGAGUUAUUGCGUUAUUAGACUGGUACUUUGCUGUCUGCCUAAAUAAUUUAGUCCACUUAUUUAGUAUGUUAAAGAGUUAUUGUGUUAUUAGAAGUUUAAUUUGCCUUUUUGUGACUUGGAAGAAAUGCAUGCUCAUCUGCACAUUAGAGGAAAAGCCUAAGAUUCUACUGUAAAAUGGAAAAAUUAGUUUAGAUUGAUAUAGUUGAUAAAUGGGAUUAUAACAGAGUUAAUUAUCUUUGACACUGGAUUAUUUUCUUUUGCACAGAAGUAUAGGCCAUCCACUGAAUUCUUAAUCCAUAUUUAAUUGUCUAAUUGGUUCAAAAAAAUUAAACGUGAGCUAGAACAAUCUCACCACUGAAGAGUUGAAAAUGAAAAAAAAGUUAUUUUCUUUGUUCCUUUACCUUCACCUUAUUUUGUCAUUACUUGAUCAGGUUUGGUCGACUUGAUGCAUCAUUGUUCCAAAAUUGCUCUCAUUGAAGCACCAAGAAUCAUGCACAAUCUGGAUGAUACAUGUGCUCCAGUGUACCAAUUUCUAUCAGUGUGAUAUAAAAUGUCAACUUUUCCUGCCCUGACACCUGAGAGCCGUAAUGUGAUGUGUGUGUUUUUAUUUUAGUAAAUUACAUAUUUUGGUUUGCGAAAAAUUGCAAAUUUUACCUCCCUAGUGGGAAGUAUGUAGAAAUCACUCUGUAUGCUUAAGGAAUUUGAAUUUUAGAGGUUAU